AUUGAACGCUGGCGGCAGGCCUAACACAUGCAAGUCGAGCGAGCGGCGGACGGGUGAGUAAUGUAUGGGGAACUGCCUGAUGGAGGGGGAUAACUACUGGAAACGGUGGCUAAUACCGCAUACUAUCGGAUGUACCCAUAUGGGAUUAGCUAGUAGGUGGGGUAACGGCUCACCUAGGCGACGAUCCCUAGCUGGUCUGAGAGGAUGACCAGCCACACUGGGAUGGAGACACGGCCCAGACUCCUACGGGAGGCAGCAGUGGGGAAGAUUGCACAAUGGGCGCAAGCCUGAUGCAGCCAUGCCGCGUGUAUGAAGAAGGCCUUAGGGUUGUAAAGUACUUUCAGCGGGGAGGCGUUACCCGCAGAAGAAGCACCGGCUAACUCCGUGCCAGCAGCCGCGGUAAUAC
rnacentral:rRNA from 1 species